rnacentral:rRNA from 1 species
CAAAUGACUCUCGGCAAUGGAUAUCUCGGCUCUUGCAUCGAUGAAGAACGUAGUGAAAUGCGAUACUUGGUGUGAAUUGCAGAAUCUCGUGAACCAUUGAGUCUUUGAACGCAAGUUGUGCCCGAGGCCUUGUGGUCGAGGCACGCCUGCUUGGGCGUCAUGAC